ACUCCUACGGGAGGCAGCAGUGGGGAAUAUUGGACAAUGGGGGGAACCCUGAUCCAGCCAUGCCGCGUGUGUGAAGAAGGCCUUUUGGUUGUAAAGCACUUUAAGCAGUGAAGAAGAAGUUAUGGUUAAUACCCAUAAUGGAUGACAUUAGCUGCAGAAUAAGCACCGGCUAACUCUGUGCCAGCAGCCGCGGUAAUACAGAGGGUGCGAGCGUUAAUCGGAAUUACUGGGCGUAAAGCGAGCGUAGGUGGCUUAAUAAGUCAGAUGUGAAAUCCCCGGGCUUAACCUGGGAACUGCAUCUGAAACUGUUCGGCUAGAGUAGGUGAGAGGGAAGUAGAAUUCCAGGUGUAGCGGUGAAAUGCGUAGAGAUCUGGAGGAAUACCGAUGGCGAAGGCAGCUUCCUGGCAUCAUACUGACACUGAGGUUCGAAAGCGUGGGUAGCAAACAGGAUUAGAUACCCUGGUAGUCCACGCCGUAAACGAUGUCUACUAGUCGUUGGGUCCCUUGAGGACUUAGUGACGCAGCUAACGCAAUAAGUAGACCGCCUGGGGAGUACGGCCGCAAGGUUAAAACUCAAAUGAAUUGACGGGGGCCCGCACAAGCGGUGGAGCAUGUGGUUUAAUUCGAUGCAACGCGAAGAACCUUACCUGGUCUUGACAUACACAGAAUCUUGUA
rnacentral:rRNA from 1 species